rnacentral:rRNA from 1 species
ACUCCUACGGGAGGCAGCAGUGGGGAAUAUUGCACAAUGGGCGCAAGCCUGAUGCAGCCAUGCCGCGUGUGUGAAGAAGGCCUUCGGGUUGUAAAGCACUUUCUAGUUGUGAGGAAGGUGGUGUCGUUAAUAGCGGCAUCAUUUGACGUUAGCAACAGAAGAAGCACCGGCUAACUCCGUGCCAGCAGCCGCGGUAAUACGGAGGGUGCGAGCGUUAAUCGGAAUUACUGGGCGUAAAGCGCAUGCAGGUGGUUUGUUAAGUCAGAUGUGAAAGCCCGGGGCUCAACCUCGGAACUGCAUUUGAAACUGGCAGACUAGAGUACUGUAGAGGGGGGUAGAAUUUCAGGUGUAGCGGUGAAAUGCGUAGAGAUCUGAAGGAAUACCGGUGGCGAAGGCGGCCCCCUGGACAGAUACUGACACUCAGAUGCGAAAGCGUGGGGAGCAAACAGGAUUAGAUACCCUGGUAGCACAGAG